CAGUCGCCGCGGGAAUACGUAGGUGGCAAGCGUUGUCCGGAAUUAUUGGGCGUAAAGGGCUCGCAGGCGGUUUCUUAAGUCUGAUGUGAAAGCCCCCGGCUCAACCGGGGAGGGUCAUUGGAAACUGGGAAACUUGAGUGCAGAAGAGGAGAGUGGAAUUCCACGUGUAGCGGUGAAAUGCGUAGAGAUGUGGAGGAACACCAGUGGCGAAGGCGACUCUCUGGUCUGUAACUGACGCUGAGGAGCGAAAGCGUGGGGAGCGAACAGGAUCAGAUACCCCGGUAGUCCCUGUCUCUUAUAC
rnacentral:rRNA from 1 species